UAAUACAGAGGGUGCAAGCGUUAAUCGGAAUUACUGGGCGUAAAGCGCGCGUAGGCGGUCGAGUAAGUCGGAUGUGAAAUCCCCGGGCUUAACCUGGGAAUUGCAUUCGAUACUGCUUGGCUAGAGUGUGGAAGAGGGAAGCGGAAUUUCCGGUGUAGCGGUGAAAUGCGUAGAUAUCGGAAGGAACACCAGUGGCGAAGGCGGCUUCCUGGUCCAACACUGACGCUGAGGCGCGAAAGCGUGGGGAGCGAACAGGAUUAGAUACCCUGGUAGUCCACGCUGUAAACGAUGAGAACUAGAUGUUGGGGGGUAUAACCCCUCAGUGUCGCAGCUAACGCGUUAAGUUCUCCGCCUGGGGAGUACGGCCGCAAGGUUG
rnacentral:rRNA from 1 species